CAUGAACGUUUCGUGUCUCCCGUGGCGUCGUUUACUCAUCGCACGAGGUAGGCAGAUAGCGUUCAGAGAUUU
rnacentral:snoRNA from 1 species